UAAGGAAUAUUGGUCAAUGGACGCAAGUCUGAACCAGCCAUGCCGCGUGAAGGAUGAAGGCCCUCUGGGUUGUAAACUUCUUUUAUCUGGGACGAAAAAAGGGGAUUCUUCCUCACUUGACGGUACCAGAGGAAUAAGCACCGGCUAACUCCGUGCCAGCAGCCGCGGUAAUACGGAGGGUGCAAGCGUUAUCCGGAUUUACUGGGUUUAAAGGGUGCGUAGGUGGGUAGGUAAGUCAGUGGUGAAAUCUUCGAGCUUAACUCGGAAACUGCCAUUGAUACUAUUUAUCUUGAAUACUCUGGAGGUAAGCGGAAUAUGUCAUGUAGCGGUGAAAUGCUUAGAUAUGACAUAGAACACCAAUUGCGAAGGCAGCUUACUACAUAGUUAUUGACACUGAGGCACGAAGGCGUGGGGAUCAAA
rnacentral:rRNA from 1 species